rnacentral:rRNA from 1 species
GAUGAACGCUGGCGGCGUGCCUAAUACAUGCAAGUCGAGCGAACGGACGAGAAGCUUGCUUCUCUGAUGUUAGCGGCGGACGGGUGAGUAACACGUGGAUAACCUACCUAUAAGACUGGGAUAACUUCGGGAAACCGGAGCUAAUACCGGAUAAUAUUUUGAACCGCAUGGUUCAAAAGUGAAAGACGGUCUUGCUGUCACUUAUAGAUGGAUCCGCGCUGCAUUAGCUAGUUGGUAAGGUAACGGCUUACCAAGGCAACGAUGCAUAGCCGACCUGAGAGGGAGGUCGGCCAGACGGGAACUGAGACAGGGCCCAGACUCCGACGGGAGGAAGCAGUAGGGAAUCUUCCGCGAUGGGCGAGAGCCGAACAGAGCAACGCCGCGUGAGUGAUGAAGGACUUCGGAUCGUAAAACUCUGUUAUUAGGAAAGAACAUAUGUGUAAGUACCUGUGCACAUCUUGACGGUACCUAAUCAGAAAGCCACGGCUAACUACGUG